UGGUUCCUUUUUUUUCUAAAUACUAUAAUUUAUAAUAUUGUAUCCAAAUAAUAUUUUUGAAAACUAUGUUUUUUGGAGUUAAACAAAAUUACGAUAUUAUUGCAGGUAUGGUAUCGUAAAAUUAUGGUUUUUUGCUCAGCUAUGUCCUUUCAGUGCUUAGAAUAGAGGGACACAGCUGAGAAAAAAACACGACUAAAAAUAUAGGUGAGCACACUAACCAAACUGAGGACACUAAUUUAAAAAACCUUAAAAAAUCGUUGCCAAACAGCCCCAAACAAACAGAACUUGCCUGCUCCCGUCUCGGGAUCUCAAUCUCGUCUAUAGUAGGCACAAGAAAGGCGAUGCCUGUCUCGGUCGAAGGAACAUAUGGAACAGCAUGUGCGUCGCGGCACAUGCGUGGCGGAGCUAGCCCGUCCGUCGCGGCGGCCGGCCGGGGGCGGAGCUUGCCUGUGCGCAGACCCCGGCACGGCGGAGCUGGCCGGCGCGAUCGAGGAAGAGAUGCCACGUGCAGCCCGCGACGCGCCGGAGCUCGACCGUGUCGCUCGCGGGCCUCGCGGCGGCCGGGGCGAGCAACACCGUCUCGCGCGCCCCAAUACCAGAUUUCACAAGCGCCGGCGCGGAAUCCACAUGCAUCAUCGAGUCGAGGAGAUGACUCCUACAACGCUUGCCGAGCCGGCGAUUCGGCCUCGGAGUACGGGCCCUCGCCGUCGCCUCGCGAGGCGACCGCCUCCAAAGCCAAGUGUGUGUGUGUGUUUUGCAAAAAUAGCAACAGAGGUGUGGGGAGGAGAGUAGGAGACUGGAGACGGCGUUGUAUUGGUGCCGUUUGGUUCAGCUUCUGUGCGGCUUCUGGCCGCCAGAAGCUGAAGCUGGAACCAAACGGCAAAAUUUUCGCGCGGCUUCUGCGCGAAGCGCUUGGGUAAGAAGCCGACCGCCCACGGUCCUCGCGAAGCCGCGCUCACUUGGCUUCGGAUAGAAGCCCCCGCUCACUUCGCUAGGGUUCUACCCCCGCAACGCACCGCCGCCGCCGCCAAGCCACCGGACCGCCGGUCCGCACCCAACGCACCGCCGCCGGACCCUCUCCUCGCCGCAUCUCGUCGUCUUCGCAGUGACACCGGCGCCCUUGGUCCGUCGUGCAGGUUCCUCCGGUCCCCCACCAUCGCGUUGGCAUCUUCGCAGAUUUCCGUAUCAACUCGAGUUGUUCGUCUUCGGUUCCAAGAUCAAGUGCAACCAAGGUAAUUUCAUACACAAUUUGUUGCGCACUUUACUGUCCAUAUGGGCAGAACCAAUUUAUAUAUGUGCUGUCAUUUGUACAUGUUACUUGGAGAGACGAGAGCUGGGAUGGUCAUAUGUUUAUUGUUACCUAGGGAUACCAUUGUUCUUUUGUAUAAGUAUUAUAUGUGCAGUGAUUACUUCUACGUUUGUUUGUCACAACCUGUAUGUUCACGGUUCAGUUCAUUCUCUGUUUGUUACUACCUGUAUGUUACUAGCUUCAACCAAAGUUUGUCCAUGUUAGCACGCAAUUCAUGUCACUACAUGGAACUUAGUAGAUUGUCCCCUUCUGUAGUAAACUAACCACCUAAAUCCACAU